AUUGAACGCUGGCGGCAGGCUUAACACAUGCAAGUCGAGCGGGGGAGGUUGCUUCGGUAACUGACCUAGCGGCGGACGGGUGAGUAAUGCUUAGGAAUCUGCCUAUUAGUGGGGGACAACAUCUCGAAAGGGAUGCUAAUACCGCAUACGUCCUACGGGAGAAAGCAGGGGAUCACUUGUGACCUUGCGCUAAUAGAUGAGCCUAAGUCGGAUUAGCUAGUUGGUGGGGUAAAGGCAUACCAAGGCGACGAUCGGUAGCGGGUCUGAGAGGAUGAUCCGCCACACUGGGACUGAGAAACGGCCCAGACUACUACGGGAGGCAGCAGUGGGGAAUAUUGGACAAUGGGCGAAAGCCUGAUCCAGCCAUGCCGCGUGUCUGAAGAAGGCCUUCGGGUUGUAAAGGACUUUUGUCGGGGAGGAAAUCCCCAGCGUUAAUACCGCUGGGGGAUGACAGUACCUGAAGAAUAAGCACCGGCUAACUACGUGCCAGCAGCCGCAGUAACAC
rnacentral:rRNA from 1 species